AACACGUGUCCCAUCGUUUGCGACUCUGAUCUCUUCUUUCCCGACUUCGCUCUUCUUCAAUUUCUCCCGAUUCGCAGCGAGAGAGAGAGAGAUGGCGCCGCCGGCAACGGAGCGGUGGUGCUGGGCAUUGAUUAGGGUUCAUCUUUUCCCAUCUUUUUUUCCAAUUCAGAUUUUGAUUUCAAUCUCUAUCUUAAUCUAAUCUAUGUGAGAGUGGCUCAAGAUGCAAACGCAUCAGAUAUAAAGAGAUCAUGCGAUUAUUGAUUCUUCUUUCUUAGUCAAAAUCGCCAUUGCUUACGAGAUAUUGAAAGGACUGGUGUUCGAUCACGCUGCUCAGUUCUUCAUUGCAGAUGAUUCUCGUCUUAUCCAGUACGUCGAUGGAUGGUUAGAGAAAGGACUUGUUCGAGAGUGGAAAGGUGUUGUGGGAGAGCUUGAAGUUGGAGGCAAUUUCUCGCAGUUUCCUCCUUCAUGGCCUCCAAGAUACAUUGCUGUUCACGGCAUGCGAUCUCUCGCUGAUUCAUUGCUAUUAGAGGUUGUUAGAGUCGAUUGUCAUUGCUCACAAUGGUAAGAACGGAACAUCUCGUGGUCAGUUUGAUGUCAUUAUCAUUGCUCACAAUGGUAAAUGUGCGAACCGUUUGCUGUCUGCAUCAGGCUUGCCCCUCGUUGCUAAACAGAUGAAGAAUUUUGAUCUUAGCUCCAUAUGGGCGCUACUAGCAGCGUUCGAUGAUCCUCUUCCUACAGUGAACUUCGAAGGAGCGUUUGUGAAAGGAGUUGAAUCAUUGUCUUGGAUGGGAAACAACUCCGCAAAGCUUGAUACUACUACAAGUCAACAGUGAUUGGAGGCAUUCAACAACUUCACCAACGGAGAGGGAUGAUCGAGGAAAUACUAACAAUAUAAUAGUGGUUGGAGAUGUUGCUAACGUCAUGCCUAAUAUUCAACAGCCAAGAAAGGAAACGGACAUGGUAGCCAUGAUGAGAAGAGCCCAUGGUCAUUGUCAGGAUCCUGCUUCUGUUACUUUCUAUGUGCUAAGCCUAGCGAUGCAUUUCCAUGGCUGGCUCUCCUUCUUCAUUACACUAUACUAUAAGUUGCCUCUCAAACAAGAUAGGACGGGUUACUAUGAAUAUGUUGGUUUCUGUCAAUGAACUCUUGGUUCUGGAGUGCAGUUUUUUCCACAAUAGGAAAUAAUCUACACAUUACUUUUAUCAUCCACAAUCUUCUGGUGAUCUGUCUCUAUGGUUUCUCAGGGAUGUUGACAUCACAAAGAGGUUGGACUGCUCAUCUGCAAUAGCCGUUCUCGGAUUCUCACUCAUCGUAUCCAUCCUAAGAACCUUUCAUGUUGGGGUGGAUGCUGCAAGAGUCAUGGUAUCCGCUCCAGUACUAGCUUUAGUCACCACCCACGUACUAUACAUUAACUUCUACAAACUUUACUAUAGUAUACAGAGAACUCUUUCCCCUAUCUGAAACCAGUUCCAUUUUUUUUUCUCCACA